rnacentral:lncRNA from 1 species
UGUGAAAAAAAAGAAGAAGAAGUGAAUAGAUUUCUGCUUCCUUAUUGUGUGAGUCUUUAUGAACAUACGUGUGACAUCCUAAUAAUCUCAUAUUGGAUGAAAAUGGCAUUAUGAUUGAAUAUACAAGAGACCGUUGAUCCUAAUAAUAAUAACUAAACUUAAGUAUUUAGGGCAGUAAUUUGGGCUUAACGAGUAAUAUAUUAUUGCUAGCGGGUGAGGUUGUUACUUUUAGUAUCAGAUCCAAUUCAUUGGCCGAAAGUGUAGUGUACUAACUUUCAGGAUAAUUUCCCGAACUUCGGCCAAAUUGGGCCAAGUUCGGAGAAAAUGGCGUAUGAGACUAAUAUUGGAGGAAGUUUAGAAGCAAAAGUUUGGGUUGAGUGAAAAUUUCAUUAAAUGAGAGGGUUUAAGUUGCAAUUAUAUUGGGGUUUAUAGAUAAGG